AGAAUAGUCUCUACUACCCUGAACGUGCCCAGCCUCGUUUGAGCUCACAAGCUAAGCAGGCUCAGGCUGGGCUAGCACUUGGGUAGGAGACUUACAUAUGUGUUCAGUCACAUUGCUUUA
ensembl:rRNA 5S_rRNA 5S ribosomal RNA